rnacentral:lncRNA from 1 species
AAAAAGAACACCAGAGGCAACCUUGAAAGCACAGUGUGUGCGGAGCACAGGGAAGUAUGUAUGCAGCAGCAUCCACUCCUCGCCUUCCCAGUGGCGGUCAGAGAGUGAUGCCGAAGCUGAAGCUGUGUAUAUCGGUUACUGAGGUUUUGUUGCCACCUCCUGUCAGGACUUCCCAGGUCACGCAGUGGUAAAGAAUCCGCCUGCCAAUUCAGGAGCUGCAGUAUUCAAGCACGGUUAUAUUGAAGAAGAUAUUCCAAAACUACCCUCCUCUCUCCUCCCACCUUCAAGUCCUUUCCUGUUCUGCGAGCUGGAACCUAGAAGGGGUGGAUUCUCUACUGUCUGAGCCAUGAAGCUCAUGGAAAUGCCUGCUCUCCUGGCCCAGCUGCUGCAGGAGUCAAUGUACCAGGAGAAGCAGCUUCUCCUCCAGUGUUUUGGAGAGUGUUCCUGCUCAGUGAGCUGUGUCUGCAAGAUGCUUGUCUUCUUUUCUGAAGUCAGGAUAGAGGCAGAUUUAUGGGAGUUAAAAUGGCACCUGUGACUCAUAAACCAGGGUUCACAGCAUGGAAGGAUUAAAGUUCUUCUUUUCCAUGUUUAAGCUGAUGAUGUUUUGUUCUUGAGUCAGGAACCUCUGCUGCCCUGCAAAACCUCCUAUAAAAUCCUUGAUGGUUGUUAAGUCUCCCUGGAAGUUCUUUCUUCUGUCCUCAGUUCUGCAGCCGUGUCUUUACUCUGAGUAAUGGUUUAGUAGGAUCAUUCCCUUUCUUAUUCAGCAAUUUUAAUUUUGCCCCCCCUUUUUGUGAAAUUUCUGCAACAACUGCAGAUACAACCUGAACACUGGUCUCCUAUGUUAUAGAAAUGUAGAUGUCAAGUUCUGCUAUCAAAAGGAGCAAGCCUAUAGACAGAUCCUGGAUAGCUGGGUGCAGGGUUAUUACUGAAAAUAUGAGCUCACUACUGACUCUAAUGGAUUCUUAGCCUUGCUUUGUUCCUGGGUUUUCGUCAUGAUCUUAAUAACCAUCAUGUGAUGAUAUUACUUUAGAGGAGGAAAAGAGGACUUUUCAAAAUUGUGAGCAAAGUCAGUGUCAGAAUCUCUUGUUAUUGACCCUGUCAUCUUUCUACAAUCAGAAACAGCUCCAGUAUCUUACUCUUUAAUAGUUUCAUUCUGUUUAAGCACAACCUUGAGAAUCUCUCUUUGCCUCCAAGCCGGAAGCUAUGGAGGAUUGCUUAGGUUUCCAGUGUUGCUCAGGUAUGGUAGGAAGGCUGGUAUCAUGGUGAUAUUGGCAGAAGGGGCAAAUUGAACUCAUUUAAUAUGUAAGAUGGUUUGCACCUUGGAUUGAGGAUGGUAUGUUUUAAAAUGGAUAAAUGUAUGGGUGAACCUAUGGUUGAUUUGUGUUGGUGUUUGGUAGAAACCAACAUAGUACUGUAAAGCAAUUAUCCUUCAAUUAAAAAUAAAUAAAUUAAAAAAACUUGGAAAUGGAGCUGAAAACACUCACAAAUACAGUUGUCAAAUAUUGAAGUAGAAAAUUCUAACAUGC